UACGAGGGGGGCUAGCGUUGCUCGGAAUUACUGGGCGUAAAGGGCGCGUAGGCGGAUGGCACAGUCAGAUGUGAAAUUCCCGGGCUUAACCUGGGGGCUGCAUUUGAUACGUGUGAUCUAGAGUGAGGAAGAGGGUCGUGGAAUUCCCAGUGUAGAGGUGAAAUUCGUAGAUAUUGGGAAGAACACCGGUGGCGAAGGCGGCGACCUGGUCCUUGACUGACGCUGGGGCGCGAAAGCGUGGGGAGCAAACAGG
rnacentral:rRNA from 1 species